rnacentral:rRNA from 2 species
GGCGUGCUUAACACAUGCAAGUCGAACGAGAACGGAUUAUAGCUUGCUAUAAUUGUCAGCUAAGUGGCGCACGGGUGAGUAAUGUAUAGGUAAUAUGCCUCUUACUAAGGGAUAACAAAUGGAAACGUUUGCUAAUACCUUAUACUCCUUNUUAACAGAAGUUAAUAAGGGAAAGAUUUAUUGGUAAGAGAUUAGCCUGUAUUGUAUCAGUUAGUUGGUGGGGUAAUGGCUUACCAAGACUAUGACACAUAACUGGUUUGAGAGGAUGAUCAGUCACACUGGAACUGAGACACGGUCCAGACUCCUACGGGAGGCAGCAGUGGGGAAUAUUGCACAAUGGACGAAAGUCUGAUGCAGCAACGCCGCGUGGAGGAUGACACAUUUCGGUGCGUAAACUCCUUUUAUAUGAGAAGAUAAUGACGGUAUUAUAUGAAUAAGCACCGGCUAACUCCGUGCCAGCAGCCGCGGUAAUACGGGGGGUGCAAGCGUUACUCGGAAUCACUGGGCGUAAAGAGCAUGUAGGCGGAUUAAUAAGUUUGAAGUGAAAUCCUAUAGCUUAACUAUAGAACUGCUUUGAAAACUGUUAAUCUAGAAUGUGGGAGAGGUAGAUGGAAUUUCUGGUGUAGGGGUAAAAUCCGUAGAGAUCAGAAGGAAUACCGAUUGCGAAGGCGAUCUACUGGAACAUUAUUGACGCUGAGAUGCGAAAGCGUGGGGAGCAAACAGGAUUAGAUACCCUGGUAGUCCACGCCCUAAACGAUGUACACUAGUUGUUGUGAGACUUGAUCUUGCAGUAAUGCAGUUAACACAUUAAGUGUACCGCCUGGGGAGUACGGUCGCAAGAUUAAAACUCAAAGGAAUAGACGGGGACCCGCACAAGCGGUGGAGCAUGUGGUUUAAUUCGACGAUACACGAAGAACCUUACCUGGACUUGACAUAGUAAGAACUUUCUAGAGAUAGAUUGGUGUCUGCUUGCAGAAACUUAUAUACAGGUGCUGCACGGCUGUCGUCAGCUCGUGUCGUGAGAUGUUGGGUUAAGUCCCGCAACGAGCGCAACCCUCGUGUUUAGUUGCUAACAGUUCGGCUGAGAACUCUAAACAGACUGCCUACGCAAGUAGGAGGAAGGUGAGGACGACGUCAAGUCAUCAUGGCCCUUACGUCCAGGGCUACACACGUGCUACAAUGGGAUA